CGCCGGGACUUGGAGAGGGGGUGAGAACCCCGGGUUCGACAAACCGCGCAGCGGUUUGCACGGCGAAGCCGCCCGCAGGGCGAGGUGCGCAGCGCCGAGUGAAUCCCCCUCUCUCCGCCA
rnacentral:sRNA from 1 species